CUACCAUGGCUUUUACGGGUAACGGAGGAUUAGGGUUCGAUUCCGGAGAGGGAGCCUGAGAAACGGCUACCACAUCUAAGGAAGGCAGCAGGCGCGUAAAUUACCCAAUUCUGAUUCAGAGAGGUAGUGACAAGAAAUAACGGGUCGGGAUUAUAUCCCGGGACUGCAAUGAGACGAAUCUACACACCUUAUCGAGCAUCAAUUGGAGGGCAAGUCUGGUGCCAGCAGCCGCGGUAAUUCCAGCUCCAAUAGCGUAUAUUAAAGUUGUUGCAGUUAAAAAGCUCGUAGUUGGAUUUCUGGCAGGGUGAGCCAAACCUCAAUAUGAGUGUGCAGGCCCGCCCUACCAUCCUUCUGUUAACUUCUAAGGCCUUCACGGUCUUUCUAGGGCUCAGAUAUUUUACCUUGAGAAAAUUAGAGUGUUUCAGGCAGGCUAGCGCCGGAAUACAUUAGCAUGGAAUAAUGGAAUAGGACUUUUGCCUCUUCUGUUGGUCUGAGGGGUUCGAGUAAUGAUUAAUAGGGAUAGUUGGGGGCAUUAGUACUUAACUGUCAGAGGUGAAAUUCUCGGAUUUGUUAAAGACUAACUUAUGCGAAAGCAUUUGCCAAGGAUGUUUUCAUUAAUCAA
rnacentral:rRNA from 1 species